rnacentral:rRNA from 1 species
AUUGAACGCUGGCGGCAGGCCUAACACAUGCAAGUCGGACGGUAGCACAGAGGAGCUUGCUCCUCGGGUGACGAGUGGCGGACGGGUGAGUAAUGUCUGGGGAUCUGCCCGAUAGAGGGGGAUAACCACUGGAAACGGUGGCUAAUACCGCAUAACGUCGCAAGACCAAAGAGGGGGACCUUCGGGCCUCUCACUAUCGGAUGAACCCAGAUGGGAUUAGCCAGUAGGCGGGGUAAUGGCCCACCUAGGCGACGAUCCCUAGCUGGUCUGAGAGGAUGACCAGCCAAACUGGAACUGGGACACGGGCCAGACUCCUACGGGAGGCAGCAGUGGGGAAUAUUGCACAAUGGGCGCAAGCCUGAUGCAGCCAUGCCGCGUGUAUGAAGAAGGCCUUCGGGUUGUAAAGUACUUUCAGCGGGGAGGAAGGCGAUGUGGUUAAUAACCUUGUCGAUUGACGUUACCCGCAGAAGAAGCACCGGCUAACUCCGUGCCAGCCGCCGCGGUAA